rnacentral:lncRNA from 1 species
UUGCUAACACGUUUUCUGUACUGUUUUUAUUAGGCUCAUCGCCUUUGCCCUUCCUGCUUUUAACCGCUACAGUCAAAGUUACAGUAAUUCCAAAGCACAUGUGGAGUGAUGGCAAGGAAAUGUGAGCCUACAGAGCCCGUCCCGACCUACUCUGCUGGACACCGGGGCAAAGGGAAAGGAGUGAUGGCACCACCCUCCGCUCCUCAGAGAGUGAUAGCAGCUGCGGUUUCAGCUUUACUGGACAGCUCAGAAUGGCCCCAGAGGACGCACGUGUGUGCAGCUGGAGGGACAGUGUGCUUCUUCAGGUGCCGUGUGUACAGGGCUCUGCUGUGCUGCAUGUUUGGAGUUUGAGGGGGUAGAGCAGCCCAAGCUGUCAGGGAAGGGUGUUAGAAACCUGUUCUGACAAGGCUGCUGGUAUAUUUACAGUUGGCGAGGGCGAAGGCUUCAUCAAUCUUUGAGACGAGCGGAGGGACAGAGUGCUCCCCCAGCACCUGCGCUCCAUCUCAGCCACUGACCUGUAACUCUGUCCUCACUGCCGCCCACUUUGUGCCUUCCCAGCAGCCCCUGCUCUGCUGACCCAGGCAUGGGCUCUUAGGCUGGAGCUGCAGGUGAACAAUGGACAUUUAUAAUUUUGUUAAUUUUUUACUUAAAUGAGAACACCACUGCACUCAUUGGUAA